AUGCUUGGAUCGAGGGCACUUGUGAUUGAUGGGGCUCUGAGCAAGGGUUGGGAUAGCAGGAGUGGGCAACACCAGGUUCUUGUCCUGAGCCUGGAGGCUGUGAGCACAGACACUCAGUAUUUUGGCCCAGGAACCAGACUGACCGUACUGGAGGAUUUGAGCAAGGUGAGUCUGCCCAAGGUCACCUUGUUUGAGCCAUCAGAGGCAGAGAUCGUCGACAAACAAAUGGCCACCCUUGUGUGCCUGGCCAGGGGCUUCUACCCUGACCACGUGGAACUGAGCUGGUGGGUGAAUGGCAGGGAGGUCCACAGUGGAGUCAGCACAGACCCUCAGCCCUACCUGGAGAACAAUAACCUCACCUACUGCCUGAGCAGCCGCCUGAGGGUCUCUGCGACCUUCUGGCACAAUCCUCGCAACCACUUCCGCUGCCAAGUCCAGUUCUAUGGGCUUACAGAUGAAGACGAGUGGACCGAGUCCUCCUCGUCCAAGCCUGUCACCCAGAACAUCAGUGCAGAGGCCUGGGGCAGCGCAGACUGUGGCAUCACCUCAGUGUCCUAUCAUCAAGGGGUCCUGUCUGCCACCAUCCUCUAUGAGAUCCUUCUGGGGAAGGCAGCCUUGUACGCUGUGUUGGUCAGUGCCCUGGUGCUGAUGGCUGUGGUUAAGAAAAAGAAUUCCUGAGACCGGCUCUUGUGCAUGCUGGGCUGCUCUCCAUCCUGAUCCUGGAUUCUUCUGCACCUUCUCCAAUCCCUCUUCCUAAGGAGUUAUUCUUUCUUCGCAGCAUGCUUCCCCUCCAUGAAUAUCUGUCCUUCCUAGCCACUUCCCAAAGACUGAUCUCCUGACUCUGAAACAGACUAAGGCAAUAAAAGUGUUGACU